UACGUAGGGAGCAAGCGUUAUCCGGAUUUAUUGGGUUUAAAGGGUGCGCAGGCGGAAGAUUAAGUCGGUGGUGAAAUUUUGCAGCUCAACUGUAAAAGUGCCAUUGAUACUGGUUUUCUUGAGUGUGGAUGAAGUAGGCGGAAUUUGUGGUGUAGCGGUGAAAUGCAUAGAUAUCACGAGGAACUCCGAUUGCGCAGGCAGCUUACUAAACCAUAACUGACGCUCAGGCACGAAGGCGUGGGGAUCAAACAGGAUUAGAUA
rnacentral:rRNA from 1 species